rnacentral:RNase_P_RNA from 1 species
CCAGGGGGCCGGGCAGCCGCGGAACUUCGGUUCCGAGGAAAGUCCGGGCUCCACGAAAGCAAGGGUGGCGGGUAACGCCCGCCGGGGGCGACCCCAGGGAAAGUGCCACAGGGAGCAGACCGCCGAUGGCCCGGUAACGGGCACAGGCAAGGGUGAAAGGGUGCGGUAAAGGCGCACCGGGGCUUCGGCAACGCGGCCCGCAUGGCAAACCCCACCCGGAGCAAGGCCGAAUAGGGAUCCCGCGUUUCUUCGGAGACAGGGCGCUUCGCCCCAGAGGAUCCGGGUUGGCUGCUGGAGCCGCGGAGCGAUCCGUGGCCUAGAUGAAUGGCUGCCCUCGCGGGGCAGGUGCCUCAUGGCAUACCGCCCGCGAGACAGAACCCGGCUUACAGGCCCCCUGGCAAC